GCCUAUGGUCGUGCCACCCUGAACAAGCCUGAUCCCAUCUGAUCUCAGAAGUUAAGCAAGGUCGGGCCUGGCUAGUACUUGGAUGGGAGAACACCUAAGAAGACCAAGUGCUAUAGGCG
rnacentral:rRNA from 1 species